UACAGAGGUGGCAAGCGUUGUUCGGAAUUACUGGGCGUAAAGGGCGCGUAGGCGGCCUUCUAAGUCGGACGUGAAAUCCCCAGGCUUAACUUGGGAACUGCGUCCGAUACUGGAAGGCUCGAGUGCGGGAGAGGGAUGUGGAAUUCCAGGUGUAGCGGUGAAAUGCGUAGAUAUCUGGAGGAACACCGGUGGCGAAGGCGGGCUACUGGGCCGAUACUGACGCUGAUGCGCGAAAGCGUGGGGAGCAAACAGG
rnacentral:rRNA from 1 species